rnacentral:rRNA from 1 species
GAUGAACGCUGGCGGCGUGCCUAAUACAUGCAAGUCGAGCGAACAGAUGAGAAGCUUGCUUCUCUGAUGUUAGCGGCGGACGGGUGAGUAACACGUGGGUAACCUACCUAUAAGACUGGGAUAACUCCGGGAAACCGGGGCUAAUACCUGAUAAUAUUUUGAACCGCAUGGUUCAAUAGUGAAAGACGGCUUCGGCUGUCACUUAUAGAUGGACCCGCGCCGUAUUAGCUAGUUGGUAAGGUAAUGGCUUACCAAGGCGACGAUACGUAGCCGACCUGAGAGGGUGAUCGGCCACACUGGAACUGAGACACGGUCCAGACUCCUACGGGAGGCAGCAGUAGGGAAUCUUCCGCAAUGGGCGAAAGCCUGACGGAGCAACGCCGCGUGAGUGAUGAAGGUCUUAGGAUCGUAAAACUCUGUUGUUAGGGAAGAACAAAUU